AACGAACGCUGGCGGCAGGCCUAACACAUGCAAGUCGAGCGCUCCGCAAGGGGAGCGGCGGACGGGUGAGUAACGCGUGGGAAUAUGCCCUUUGCUACGGAAUAGUCUCGGGAAACUGGGGGUAAUACCGUAUACGCCCUUUGGGGGAAAGAUUUAUCGGCGAAGGAUUAGCCCGCGUUGGAUUAGGUAGUUGGUGGGGUAAUGGCCUACCAAGCCGACGAUCCAUAGCUGGUUUGAGAGGAUGAUCAGCCACACUGGGACUGAGACACGGCCCAGACUCCUACGGGAGGCAGCAGUGGGGAAUCUUAGACAAUGGGGGCAACCCUGAUCUAGCCAUGCCGCGUGAGUGAUGAAGGCCUUAGGGUUGUAAAGCUCUUUCAGCUGGGAAGAUAAUGACGGUACCAGCAGAAGAAGCCCCGGCUAACUCCGUG
rnacentral:rRNA from 1 species